GAUCCUCGCUUUAAUUUGGCACGCACUAUUAAUCUAAAUCUGCAUGGCUUCUGGAGACAAUUUAAGGUACUUUUGCUAGUUGAGCGGCAGUUUAUGUUUUGAUGAGCAUUUCGCUUCAUGAUUCCUGGGAGAUUUGUGCGUAUGGAUCGCUUUCGUGCGUUGAUCUACCAGCUGCUCCAAUGCCCGGAGGAAAUUACAACCUCCAAGAAAAUGCUGAAGGAUCGUUGCGUCCACCGCUAUUGAUAUGACAACAUCACUCUAUUGCAAUUGAAAACGGUGAAAUUGCUCAACCUCCUUGCACUGAUUAGCGGAAAUGCCAAAGGUAGCUUUUGUUUGGAACGAACGGAGCGAUAAAGGUACAAACCGAAUCGCGGGUUCUUUUAAAGUAGAUAGGAUUUUCUUUUAAGACUGCUGACAUUUCUGGGUGGAAUGCGUUCGACCAGCAGACAUUUCUCAACGAAUUGCUGAAUCGCUCAAUUCCGGAGGGCGUUGAUACCACCAGUUCGCCGGUGUUAUCGAUCCUUCGACCUUGUCUGCGAGUCUUAGCACUUCAUGCCUAAAUCCUCAGCGGAGCCGGUGAUAAUCAUGCCGCUUCAGCACCGUCCAUCUUAGUCUGAACCGCAGUUGCAAUGCGGGCGGCCAAUCCACCAGUGCGACCGGACAGAUGCGCAAUUCAGUCAUAUUCCACUGCUUCCAUGACGCCAACGGGACCAUUCAAGGCAAACUGACGUUCAACGUUCCCAUCAACGUUCAACGUUCAACGUUCAACGUCGCGCAUUUCAACGUUCAACGUUCAACGUCGCGCAUUUCAACAUGGGUUGGAUCGGCGUCGAUCAAGCGCCCUGACCGUGCAGAGCGCCCAGUUUGCCAACAACGAAAUGCGCUACGCAGCUAUCCCGAAGAAACAAUUUGGUAUCAGUGGGCAGGCAUUUGACCUGACGCAGACGGUCACUCUGAUUGGAGACAAUGGACCGCUGAUACAAAAUGCCAUCGCACAGCACGAUAGAGCGCACGUUCCCAGUGCCAAAGUCAGCUUCCCGUGAUCUGCCAUUCCGGCGAAUGGCCUGCAUUCCGCUUUUAUAUGUCUGUCAAAAACUCUGCAAAUAGCAUAAGGGAAAAGAUGCAGUUUGUAUUAUGGUUGUAACACAAUGUCAGUUACCUCAUUACGCACAUUUAAAUUAAACUGUCACACUUUUAAACUAUUUGUCCAGCGGUUAAAAACAAUCCUUAACGGUGCCUCCCGAACCCAGCUAACAAACGUAUGAUGACUUUAUUG